GACGAACGCUGGCGGCGUGCUUAACACAUGCAAGUCGAACGGAAAGGCCCUGCUUUUGUGGGGUGCUCGAGUGGCGAACGGGUGAGUAACACGUGAGUAACCUGCCCUUGACUUUGGGAUAACUUCAGGAAACUGGGGCUAAUACCGGAUAGGAGCUCCUGCUGCAUGGUGGGGGUUGGAAAGUUUCGGCGGUUGGGGAUGGACUCGCGGCUUAUCAGCUUGUUGGUGGGGUAGUGGCUUACCAAGGCUUUGACGGGUAGCCGGCCUGAGAGGGUGACCGGCCACAUUGGGACUGAGAUACGGCCCAGACUCCUACGGGAGGCAGCAGUGGGGAAUAUUGCACAAUGGGCGGAAGCCUGAUGCAGCAACGCCGCGUGCGGGAUGACGGCCUUCGGGUUGUAAACCGCUUUCGCCUGUGACGAAGCGUGAGUGACGGUAAUGGGUAAAGAAGCAGCGGCUAACUACGUG
rnacentral:rRNA from 1 species